rnacentral:rRNA from 1 species
UACGUAGGGGGCAAGCGUUGUCCGGAAUCAUUGGGCGUAAAGAGCGUGUAGGCGGCCUGAUAAGUCGGCUGUGAAAGUCAAGGGCUCAACCCUUGAAUGCCGGCCGAUACUGUCAGGCUAGAGUCCGGAAGAGGCGAGUGGAAUUCCUGGUGUAGCGGUGAAAUGCGCAGAUAUCUGGAGGAACACCGGUGGCGAAGGCGGCGAUCCUGGACCAAUAUUGACGCUGAGGAGCGAAAGCCAGGGGA